CACUUACAGACAGUUGAGCAUUCUCAUUUUAUAUACUAACCUUUUAUGUGGUUCAGUGUCAAAUGCUUUGGAGAAAUCCAGAUAUGACAUCCAUUAAUUCGCCACUGUCAAGUCUAGAACUUACCUCUUCAUAGAAACUGAUUAAAUUAGUUUGACAUGACCGAUCCCUCAUGAAGCCAUGCUGAUAUGGCAUUAUUUGCUUAUUU